GAUGAACGCUGGCGGCGUGCCUAAUACAUGCAAGUCGAGCGGAGCGGCGGACGGGUGGGUAAUGCCUAGGAAUCUGCCUGGUCGUGGGGGAUAACGUCAGGAAACGGGCCCUAAUACCGCAUACUAUCAGAUGAGCCUAGGUGGGAUUAGCUAGUUGGUGGGGUAAAGGCCUACCAAGGCGACGAUCCGUAACUGGUCUGCGAGGAUGAUCAGCCACACUGGAACUGAGACACGGUCCAGACUCCUACGGGAGGCAGCAGUGGGGAAUAGUGGACAAUGGGCGAAAGCCUGAUCCAGCCAUGCCGCGUGUGUGAAGAAGGUCUUCGGAUUGUAAAGCUCUGUAAGUUGGGAGGCGUUACCAACAGAAUAAGCACCGGCUAACUACGUGCCAGCCGCCGCGGUAAUAC
rnacentral:rRNA from 1 species